rnacentral:lncRNA from 1 species
GAUAAUGUUGCCAGCAUUCUGUUUUCUCAGCCAUUUCAGGAGGUGGGUGUGGGAUGAGAGGCAGCCUGGCCUCUCUAACUGCUGUGUUUGCUUUUCUAGUGUGACGUGCCAGAGGGCGGGCUGGUCCCCAAAUCCCUGUACAGGACUCCCGAGGAGCUGGAGAAUGAGGACCUGAAGCUCUGGACGGAGACCAUCUACCAGUCUGCCAGCGUGUUCAAAGGAGCCCCACAUGAGAUUCUCAUUCAGAUUGUGGAUGCUGCCUCAGUGAUCACCUGGGAUUUUGAUGUGUGCAAAGGCGACAUCGUCUUUAAUAUUUAUCACUCCAAGAGGUCUCCCCAGCCACCCAAAAAGGACUCGCUGGGGGCCCACAGCAUCACCUCUCCAGGGGGGAACAACGUGCAGCUCAUAGACAAAGUCUGGCAGCUGGGCCGGGACUACAGCAUGGUGGAGUCUCCUCUGAUCUGCAAAGAAGGAGAGAGUGUGCAGGGGUCCCAUGUGACCAGGUGGCCGGGCUUCUACAUCCUACAGUGGAAAUUCCACACCAUGCCAGCCUGUGCUGCCACCAACCUACCCCGAGUGGACGACGUGCUGGCUUCCCUGCAGGUCUCCUCGCACAAG